UAUUUGGCAAUGGGGGAAACCCUGACCCAGCAACGCCGCGUGAGGGAAGAAGGUUUUCGGAUCGUAAACCUCUGUCCUAUGUGAAGAGGAAGAGACGGUAGCAUAGGAGGAAGCCACGGCCAACUACGUGCCAGCAGCCGCGGUAAUACGUAGGGGGAGAGCGUUGUCCGGAAUGAUUGGGCGUAAAGGGCGCGUAGGCGGCCCGGUAAGUCUGAAGUGAAAGUCCUGUUUUUAAGAUGGGAAUUGCUUUGGAUACUGUCGGGCUUGAGUGCAGGAGAGGUGAGUGGAAUUCCCAGUGUAGCGGUGAAAUGCGUAGAGAUUGGGAGGAACACCAGUGGCGAAGGCGACUUACUGGACUGUAACUGACGCUGAGGCGCGAAAGUGUGGGGAGCAAACAGG
rnacentral:rRNA from 1 species